rnacentral:rRNA from 1 species
GAUGAACGCUGGCGGCGUGCCUAAUACAUGCAAGUCGAGCGAACGGACGAGAAGCUUGCUUCUCUGAUGUUAGCGUCGGACGGGUGAGUAACACGUGGAUAACCUACCUAUAAGACUGGGAUAACUUCGGUAAACCGUAGCUAAUACCGGAUAAUAUUUUGAACCGCAUGGUUCACAAGUGAAAGACGGUCUUGCUGUCACUUAUAGAUUGAUCCGCGCUGCAUUAGCUAGUUGGUAAGGUAACGGCUUACCAAGGCAACGAUGCAUAGCCGACCUGAGAGGAUGAGCGGAAACACUGGAACUGAGACAAGGUGCAGAAUCCUACGGGAGGCGGCAGUAGGGAAUCUUACGCAAUGGGCGAAAGCCUGAAGAAGAAACGCCGCGUGAGUGAUGAAGGUCUUCGGAUCGUAAAACAAUGUUAUGAGGGAAGAACAUAUGUGUAAGUAACUGUGCACAUCUUGAAGGUACCUAAUCAGAAAGACACGGCUAACUACGUG